UUGGACAGGAUAAAGAUUCUCCAGGUUCUCCCCUCCAAUUUCAACCAAUCAUUCUAAUUCUAGCAUGAUGAGCUCAACUUCCAUUGUCAUCAAAAUUUUAUUUUUCCUAUGAAAUGCUACUGAUUAAGACCACCAGAAUUCUUGGCCAGCAUCCAAGUUUCUUGAACUAGUUGAGGAAAAUGUCUCUUUUUGCUCCUUCCAGUGGACUCACACUUCUUCAAUCAACUAAAGAUCAUUACUUUAGGCAACUUUUUUCAUCUCAUUUCAUCAAUCAUGUUCAGGUAAGAACAGUCCCUUAUGCUACUCCUUUUCUUUCUGUCAAUGUAUCUGGAAGACCCUUUAGAGUUAGUUCAAGAAAACUUAAACCCAUCAUAGCUUCAGCUGCCUCUACUGUUGAAACCUCCAACAUUUCUUUCAGAGGUAAAAAUCCAAAAGAUAUCAAUGUUUUAGUUGUGGGUUCAACUGGGUACAUUGGGAAAUUUGUGGUUAAGGAGUUAACUAGUAGAGGCUUCAAUGUUAUAGCUGUGGCUAGAGAAAAAAGUGGUAUUAAAGGAAAGAAUAGUAAAGAUGAUACCUUGGAACAGUUAAAUGGAGCUAAUGUGUGUUUUUCUGAUGUUACCAAUUUGGAGACUUUGGAGAAAAGUGUACAAGGUUUAGGGGUUUCAAUUGAUGUUGUUGUGUCUUGCCUUGCUAGUCGAAAUGGUGGGGUAAAAGAUUCUUGGAAUAUUGAUUAUGAGGCCACAAAGAAUAGUCUUGUUGCUGGGAGGAAGUUUGGGGCUUCACACUUUGUUUUGCUGUCUGCAAUUUGUGUGCAAAAGCCCCUUCUUGAAUUUCAAAGAGCUAAGCUGAAAUUUGAGGCGGAAUUGAUGAAAGAAACUGAAGAAGAUAAUGGAUUUACUUAUAGUAUUGUUAGACCUACUGCAUUUUUCAAGAGCUUAGGAGGUCAGGUUGAAUUGGUGAAAGAUGGGAAACCUUAUGUGAUGUUUGGGGAUGGAAAGUUGUGCGCUUGCAAGCCGAUAAGCGAGCAAGAUUUAGCUUCUUUUAUUGCUGAUUGUGUACUGAAAGAGGAUAAAAUCAAUCAGGUCUUGCCAAUUGGAGGACCUGGGAAGGCAUUGACACCAUUAGAACAAGGGGAAAUGUUGUUUAAACUUGUGGGGAAAGAACCCAAAUUUCUCAAGGUGCCAAUUGAAAUAAUGGAUUUUGCAAUUGGAUUUCUCGACUUCCUUGUAAAAAUAUUUCCUUCGUUGGAAGAUGCGGCCGAGUUUGGGAAGAUUGGGAGGUAUUAUGCAGCUGAGAGCAUGUUGAUUUGGGAUCCUGAGACUGGGGAAUAUAAUGCUGAGGCAACACCAAGCUAUGGAAAUGAUACAUUGGAAGAUUUUUUUCAAAGAGUACUGAAAGAAGGAAUGGCUGGUCAGGAGUUGGGGGAGCAAACAAUAUUCUAAAUACUCCAUCAAAGAAGUCUUAACUAGCUACUCUCCGACAAAUCGAUUUUGAUGUGGUAUUUACUUGUCUUAUGCUUCCACAAGUAUAUAGCAGGGUUCCUGAGCGAAAAAGAUAAGGGUGAUAUGUGCCCUACGUUACACUCCAUAGGAUAUUUAAGAUUGUUUAUACUUUUGACUUGAAGUACUUCUCUGUUUGCUAUCUUAAUAU